GAACCCCCUUCGACCCUCAGCUGUUCCAUCUGGAGCAGGUGGACGGCCCCCAUUUGAUGACACCUUCUUUGGAGGAAGACCAUUGCAACCUGAGAUGGUGGGCAACAGAGAAUUCAUCCCCAUCUUUCAGGCUGACAAUGUGACAUUACAG